UACAGAGGGUGCUAGCGUUGUUCGGAAUCAUUGGGCGUAAAGGGCGUGUAGGCGGUUUGUUAAGUCAUGUGUGAAAUCCCUCGGCUCAACCGGGGAACGACGCAUGAAACUGGCAAGCUAGAGUACCAAAGAGGGGGGUGGAAUUCCCGGUGUAGCGGUGAAAUGCGUAGAUAUCAGGAGGAACACCGAUGGCGAAGGCAGGUCUCUGGGCUGACACUGACGCUCAUGCACGAAAGCGUGGGGAGCGAACAGG
rnacentral:rRNA from 1 species